rnacentral:rRNA from 1 species
UACGGAGGGUGCGAGCGUUGUCCGGAUUUAUUGGGUUUAAAGGGUGCGUAGGCUGGAGGGACAGUCAGCGGUGAAAAGCAGUUGCUCAACAAUUGUCUUGCCGCAGAUACUACCUUUCUUGGAUUGGGAGGAGGUUACCGGAACGGAUGGUGUAGCGGUGAAAUGCAUAGAUAUCAUCCAGAACGCCAAUUGCGAAGGCAGGUAACUGUACCUAUAUCGACGCUGAUGCACGAAAGCAUGGGUAGCGAACAGGAUUAGAUACCCUGGUAGUCCAUGCUGUAAACGAUGAGGACUAGCUGUUGGGAGCAUUGCUUUCAGCGGCACAGGGAAACCGUUAAGUCCUCCACCUGGGGAGUACGCCGGCAACGGUGAA